rnacentral:rRNA from 1 species
AACGAACGCUGGCGGCAUGCCUAACACAUGCAAGUCGAACGAGACCUUCGGGUCUAGUGGCGCACGGGUGCGUAACGCGUGGGAACCUUCCCUUAGGGUCGGAAUAACUCCCCGAAAGGGGUGCUAAUACCGGAUAAUGUCUUCGGACCAAAGAUUUAUCGCCUUUGGAUGGGCCCGCGUUGGAUUAGCUAGUUGGUAGGGUAAAAGCCUACCAAGGCGACGAUCCAUAGCUGGUCUGAGAGGAUGAUCAGCCACACUGGGACUGAGACACGGCCCAGACUCCUACGGGAAGCAGCAGUGGGGAAUAUUGGACAAUGGGCGAAAGCCUGAUCCAGCAAUGCCGCGUGAGUGAUGAAGGCCUUAGGGUUGUAAAGCUCUUUUACCCGGGAUGAUAAUGACAGUACCGGGAGAAUAAGCUCCGGCUAACUCCGUG